GUCAGCGUGGUGGAAUGGUAUACACGGCGGACUUAAAAUCCGCUGGCAGAAAUGUCAUGUGGGUUCGAGUCCCACCGCUGACACCA
rnacentral:tRNA from 1 species